rnacentral:rRNA from 1 species
GCUACACAUGCAAGUCGAGCGCUCACUUCGGUGGGAGCGGCGGACGGGUUAGUAACGCGUGGGAACAUACCCUUCACUAAGGAAUAGCCUCUGGAAACGGAGAGUAAUACCUUAUACGCCCUUCGGGGGAAAGAUUUAUCGGUGAAGGAUCGGCCCGCGUUAGAUUAGAUAGUUGGUGGGGUAACGGCCUACCAAGUCUACGAUCUAUAGCUGGUUUGAGAGGAUGAUCAGCAACACUGGGACUGAGACACGGCCCAGACUCCUACGGGAGGCAGCA